rnacentral:rRNA from 1 species
GAUGAACGCUGGCGGCGUGCCUAAUACAUGCAAGUCGAGCGAACAGACGAGGAGCUUGCUCCUCUGACGUUAGCGGCGGACGGGUGAGUAACACGUGGAUAACCUACCUAUAAGACUGGGAUAACUUCGGGAAACCGGAGCUAAUACCGGAUAAUAUAUUGAACCGCAUGGUUCAAUAGUGAAAGACGGUUUUGCUGUCACUUAUAGAUGGAUCCGCGCCGCAUUAGCUAGUUGGUAAGGUAACGGCUUACCAAGGCAACGAUGCGUAGCCGACCUGAGAGGGUGAUCGGCCACACGGGAACUGAGACACGGUCCAGACGCCGACGGGAGGCAGCAGUAGGGAAUCUACCGCAAUGGGCGAAAGCCUGACGGAGCAACGCCGCGUGAGUGAUGAAGGGCUUCGGAUCGUAAAACUCUGUUAUUAGGGAAGAACAAAUGUGUAAGUAACUAUGCACGUCUGGACGGUACCUAAUCAGAAAGCCACGGCUAACUACGG